rnacentral:rRNA from 1 species
UGCAGUCGAGCGCGAAAGCUCCUUCGGGAGUGAGUAGAGCGGCGAACGGGUGAGGAACACGUGAGAAUCUGCCUUUUAGUGAAGAAUACCCUCGAGAAAUCGAGGCUAAUGCUGCAUAAGUCCCUUCGGGGAGAAAGAUGGCUUUAUUGCUGUCGCUGAAAGAUGAGCUUGCGGACUAUUAGCUUGUUGGUGGGGUAAAGGCCUACCAAGGCAAUGAUGGUUAACCGGCCUGAGAGGGUGAACGGUCACAUUGGAACUGAGACACGGUCCAGACUCCUACGGGAGGCAGCAGUGAGGAAUAUUGCGCAAUGGGCGAAAGCCUGACGCAGCGACGCCGCGUGGAGGAUGAAGGCUUUAGGGUCGUAAACUCCUGUUAAGUGAGAAGAAAGAACCAUUCCUAAUAAGGAUGGGAGAUGACGUUAUCACUAAAGAAAGCACCGGCUAACUUCGUGCCAGCAGCCGCGGUAAUACGAGGGGUGCAAGCGUUAUUCGGAAUAACUGGGCGUAAAGGGUGCGUAUACGGUUUAUUAAGUUCAUUGUUAAAUACCUCGGCCUAACCGAGGAAUCGCGGUGAAAACUGAUAGACUUGAGGUUGGAAGAGAGAAGUGGAAUUCUCGGAGUAGCGGUAAAAUGCGUAGAUCUCGAGAGGAACACCGAUGGCGAAAGCAGCUUCUUGGUCCAUACCUGACGUUGAGGCAC